rnacentral:rRNA from 1 species
GACGAACGCUGGCGGCGUGCUUAACACAUGCAAGUCGAACGGAAAGGCCCUGCUUUUGUGGGGUGCUCGAGUGGCGAACGGGUGUGUAACACGUGUGUAACCUGCCCUUUACUUUUGUAUAACUUCAGUAAACUCUGGCUCAUACCGGAUAUGAUCUCCUUCUGCAUGGUUGUGGUUGUAAAGUUUCGGCGUUUGGGGAUGGACUCGCGGCUUAUCAGCUUGUUGGUGGGGUAGUGGCUUACCAAGGCUUUGACGGGUAGCCGGCCUGAGAGGGUGACCGGGCAAAUGGGGACUGAGAUACGGGCCAGAAGGCAACGGGAGGCAGAAGUGGGGAAUAUUGCAAAAUGGGCGGAAGCAUGAUGCAGAAACGCCGGGUGCGGGAUGACGGACUUCGGGUUGUAAACCGAUUUAGCCUGUGAAGAAGAGUGAGUGACGGUAAUGGGUAAAGAAGCACCGGCUAACUACGUG